GCGGGGCCCACGCCCCCAGGUCCUCGCGGCGCCCGCGGCUAAGAUCACCGUAAAUGUCCGAAUAUGGGGACACCCACGAUUUGAGGCUCUAACACACUUUUCUCAGUGACAAGGCUGACUCCACCUCCCUCCCCAGGGCCUGUGCAGAAAGGGUUUCUGGCUCGGGGAGGCCUCUCCUCGCCUGCCCCCAGUCAAGCCUUCCUGUGAGUUGCCCGGCUGUUCUCUGCCACCCCAGGAGCUGCAAGGCGGUCAAGUUUGGGGGUGAUAACACUAACUGGCAGGGCCACACUAAAGACUGCACAGCUACACGAUCCACUCUGAAUUCAUGCCCAACCCGACUGUUCCACGAGCAGCCCGCUCGGAGUACAGGGAAGUUAAUAUCAAACCUCUGCCUCCACGGACUGCCAGGGACCGGAGGCAG